GUUCAACAAAGAAACUCCGACCUCAUACCGCAAAAUCGGGGUUGUACUCACACACUUGCAACUUUUUGUGUAUGAACACAAAAGCCGAACGAGAAUCGUGGUGAAAAAGUGCGAAAAGGAAAACACUAUAUGAUAGAGAAAAGUGCAACCCCAUUUUACAAAAGAACAAAACGUCAAAAUUAAUAAAACAAUAAAAAAAAAGCAGCUGUCGAGGGUGGCCGAGGUUUGGGACCAGAUUUUGAAAAAAGAAGAUGUUUCGCGAAUAAAGACGCUAAAGUAGAUGUUGAAACUCUGGCCUGUCAGUGGGAAGGAAUAAGAAGCGCCUGAAGGUUGGUGGAAUUCGCAAGACGCAUUCCUGGAUUCGGGAGUUACGAUGAUAUCGCCUUUGAAAAUGACGAAUAGGGUCUUAUGUACGCAGAGCUAGCAACUAGUAUGGAAGGAUUCUUAAAUAUUACGGUCAAUGCAUCUACUCUCCAAGUUCAUGCUAGAAAGCUCCGAGAGAAUUUGGACAUCCAUAGCAACUCAAACUACAGCAGCAACAACAAAUGAAAAUAAAUGAAAUGUAUUUUAUUGUAUUUAUU